GACAGUCUUAGUUCGGAUUGUAGGCUGCAACUCGCCUACAUGAAGUCGGAAUUGCUAGUAAUCGCGGAUCAGCAUGCCGCGGUGAAUACGUUCCCGGGCCUUGUACACACCGCCCGUCACACCAUGGGAGUCGGUAACACCCGAAGCCUGUAGUCUAACCGCAAGGGGGACGCAGUCGAAGGUGGGGAUUGAUGACUGGGGUGAAGUCGUAACAAGGUACC
rnacentral:rRNA from 1 species